AUGUGCAUACCAAAAAAUUAGGGUGGAAUGGGCUUCCGUGACCUUCAUGCUUUUAACCUUGCGAUGCUAGCGAAACAAUGUUGGAGAUUGAUCUCUAAUCCAGAUACGUUAUUUGCUCGUGUGCUUCGCGCGAAAUACUAUCUGGAUGGUAAUAUUUUGAAGGCAGGGAACAAAAAAGGAUCUUUCUUUACUUGGCAGUCUAUUGUUUCUGGAAUCCAAACUUUC
rnacentral:rRNA from 1 species